rnacentral:rRNA from 1 species
GAUGAACGCUGGCGGCGUGCCUAAUACAUGCAAGUCGAGCGAAUGGAUUAAGAGCUUGCUCUUAUGAAGUUAGCGGCGGACGGGUGAGUAACACGUGGGUAACCUGCCCAUAAGACUGGGAUAACUCCGGGAAACCGGGGCUAAUACCGGAUAACAUUUUGAACCGCAUGGUUAGAAAUUGAAAGGCGGCUUCGGCUGUCACUUAUGGAUGGACCCGCGUCGCAUUAGCUAGUUGGUGAGGUAACGGCUCACCAAGGCAACGGUUCGUAGCCGACCUGAGAGGGUGAUCGGCCACACUGGGACUGAGACACGGCCCAGACUCCUACGGGAGGCAGCAGUAGGGAAUCUUCCGCAAUGGACGAAAGUCUGACGGAGCAACGCCGCGUGAGUGAUGAAGGCUUUCGGGUCGUAAAACUCUGUUGUUAGGGAAGAACAAGUGCUAGUUGAAUAAGCUGGCACCUUGACGGUACCUAACCAGAAAGCCACGGCUAACUACGUGCCAGCCGCCGCAGUAA